UGGGGAAUAUUGGACAAUGGGGGCAACCCUGAUCCAGCCAUGCCGCGUGUGUGAAGAAGGUCUUCGGAUUGUAAAGCACUUUAAGUUGGGAGGAAGGGCAGUAAAUUAAUACUUUGCUGUUUUGACGUUACCGACAGAAUAAGCACCGGCUAACUCUGUGCCAGCAGCCGCGGUAAUACAGAGGGUGCAAGCGUUAAUCGGAAUUACUGGGCGUAAAGCGCGCGUAGGUGGUUUGUUAAGUUGGAUGUGAAAUCCCCGGGCUCAACCUGGGAACUGCAUUCAAAACUGACAAGCUAGAGUAUGGUAGAGGGUGGUGGAAUUUCCUGUGUAGCGGUGAAAUGCGUAGAUAUAGGAAGGAACACCAGUGGCGAAGGCGACCACCUGGACUGAUACUGACACUGAGGUGCGAAAGCGUGGGGAGCAAACAGGAUUAGAUACCCCAGUAGUCCCUGAGCGGGCUGGCAAGGCGCAU
rnacentral:rRNA from 1 species